rnacentral:tRNA from 1 species
UCCGGUGUAGCGCAGUGGUAGCGCAGAGGACUGUUAAUCCUUUGGUCGCUGGUUCGAAUCCAGCCACCGGAGCCA